AGGUGAACCUGCGGAAGGAUCACUAGUGAUUAAAUCGAGCGUGUCUUCAUUGACCGCUCACCCUUCUCACCAUCCACAUACACCUGUGCACUGUUUAGCCUGAGCCGGUUUUCCGGCCCAGGUUAUCAUUUCAUACAAACUCAAGUCUUAUGAAUGUAAACGUUUUAAUAACAUAAUAAAACUUUCAACAACGGAUCUCUUGGUUCUCG
rnacentral:misc_RNA from 1 species